CAGCAGCCGCGGGAAUACGAAGGGGGCUAGCGUUGCUCGGAAUCACUGGGCGUAAAGGGUGCGUAGGCGGGUCUUUAAGUCAGGGGUGAAAUCCUGGAGCUCAACUCCAGAACUGCCUUUGAUACUGGGUAUCUUGAGUAUGGAAGAGGUGAGUGGAAUUCCGAGUGUAGAGGUGAAAUUCGUAGAUAUUCGGAGGAACACCAGUGGCGAAGGCGGCUCACUGGUCCAUUACUGACGCUGAAGUGCGAAAGCGUGAGGAGCAAACAGGAUUAGAGACCCCCGUAGUCCCUGUCUCUUAUAC
rnacentral:rRNA from 1 species